ensembl:lncRNA
GAGAGCUGUGCAGAGAAGUCAACUUCAUCAUGAUGAAGCCUCACCUGCUUUUCACACUGAUGUAUUUCUGUCUGGAGUUGGAAGCACACGAUCUUUCUCCACCCAAACUGACAGUGGAUGUAUCUGUGAUCAAAAAAACAGAUUCAGUGACAUUAAAGUGUCAGAGUUCAUCUACAGAGUCUACUUCUGAGUGUUCUUUCUUCGCUCAAAGUGAAACGCUCUUUGUGGGCCGCUGUCUGCAGAACAUAACAGGAGCUGAAAUUCUGAUACGAACUAAAAGAAGAUCUCCUGCUACCGUUGAAGUUAGAUGUUCUUACACUGUAAAGGAAGGAAAUUUCCAUUUUACAUCUGUAGAGAGUGAUCCAUCCACCAUUGAGAUAAACAAUCUUCUUAGACCUGAUCUGACCGUGAAUCCACGUCUGAUCUCAGAAAAGGAUUCAGUCACAUUAAACUGUCAGACUUCAGUGUCUUUGACUGAAUGUUCGUGGCAUUUUAAGGGAAAAAGUCGAGCCCGACGUUUCUCUUGUUCUAAGACACUGACUGGAGCUGAGCUGAUAGAAAUUACGAGUCUAAGAGUUCCUGCUAAAGUCCGAGUUUCGUGCUCUUACCUUGAUGGUACAAAAUCUCCAGAAAGUGAACAGAAGACCAUCACUAUCCAGCUUCCUCAGCCUGAACUAAGAGUGAAUCCAGCUGUGAUCACAGAGAGAGACUCGGCCACACUGAACUGUGUGUCUCCAUCAUCUCUUUCUGUCUCUGAAUGUCAUUUCUACUUUUUGAAAACAAAAACCACAAAAAGCAGCUCCUGCAUGCAGACGCUGACAGCAGCUGAACUUCUGUCCAUGUCUAGUCAAAGAUCACCUGCUGAUGUUGAACUAACGUGUUUUUACUCUGUGGAAGAGCAAGAAGGAAACUCUCAGUCUCCACGCAGCAAUGUCAGCUACAUCCACAUCAGUGUAGAAAGAAAAAGGACAUCAGUGACUUCAGCAGACAGUUGGUCUGGAGAUUUAACUACUGGCACGCCAAAGAUCUCUGACCUUCUUCCACCUGAUCUGACCGUGAAUCCACGGCUGAUCUCAGAAAAGGAUUCAGUCACAUUAAACUGUCAGACUUCAGUGUCUUUGACUGAAUGUUUUUGGCUCUUUAAGGGAAAAAGUCGAGCCCAACAUUUCUCUUGUUCUAAGACACUGACUGGAGCUGAGCUGAUAGAAAUGACGAGUCUAAGAGUUCCUGCUAAAGUUACAAUCUCAUGUUUUUACCUUAAUGGUACAAAAUCUCCAGAAAGUGAAGAGAAGACCAUCACUAUCCAGUUUCCUCAGCCUGAACUAAGAGUGAAUCCAGCUGUGAUCACAGAGAGAGACUCGGCCACACUGAACUGUGUGUCUCCAUCAUCUCUUUCUGUCUCUGAAUGUCAUUUCUACUUUUUGAAAACAAAAAUCACAAAAAGCAGCUCCUGCAUGCAGACGCUGACAGCAGCUGAACUUCUGUCCAUGUCAAGUCAAAGGUCACCUGCUGAUGUUGAACUAACGUGUUUUUACUCUGUGGAAGAGCAAGAAGGAAACUCUCAGUCUCCACGCAGCAAUGUCAGCUACAUCCACAUCAAAAAUACCCCUACGACAACACAGCGGACGUCACCUUACAGAACCACCUCAGUUAUCUCAACAACAAUCGAGGAAAUCCUUUCAACAUCAACAACUGUUAACUCAGCAAGCAGUACUCGUAGAUCUCUUCAUACUUCUCUGAUGUCUACAAAUCCUCAACCAGCUGUAACCGAAGAGACUCGCACCACAACUACCACGCUGUUGACGUCUUACGUGACUUCAGUCACUCAAUCCACAGAAUCACAAUCUGACAGGACACUCCUCUACGUGGUUGUGAUUGGACCGGGUUUUGGUGUCACUGUGGGAAUCAUCUUACUGGGAGUGACGCUUCUCUGUUCCAAAAGAAGAAGUAAAACGCGUGCAACAAAGAGACAUAAAGCUUACUCUUCCGCUAACUUCAUGGAAACAAGAAAUAUUCAAAGUGAAGGACAGGAAAUGCCUGAAUUAACUCCAGGACUUUAUAAUGAAAUCACAUCCGUCGGUAUGAACAGCGUUUUACCUUCAGUCAGCUGUCCAGCAGAGUUUGAGCGGAAAAAUGGCUGUCAAUCUCAAAAUGAAAGCGCUGACGUCUACCACGUUUAUGCCUCCAUCGCUGACGAGGAACCUGCACCCAGAGAUGUGACGUACCACAAGCUGCAGCUCCACUGACACAUCUCUACAUCUACAGUCCAGAUGAGUUUCCACAGUGAGGAAUCGUAAAGCUGUUAAAUCUUUGACCUCCUUCCUCUUACAAUAGUGGAACUGUAACUAUGGAAGUAACUUUUCUCUCCUGAAAGCAGACCUUUAGUUCUCUCACUUUUGUGCUGAAUUGUUCUUUUUUUUCUGAUUUUUAAUCCUUUUUCUGUGGAAAUACUGGCUUAAGUGUAAAUAAUUGUAAAUUUUUGUUCUUUUUCAUGACAGAAAUCACAAUUAAAACGCCGUAUGUUCAUUUCAUCACAUAAAUGAUACAUUAUUUUGUUUACCAUAAAUUCAAUUGUAUUUAUAUCACAAAACAAUUGCCUCAUUGGGCUUCAUACUGGUAAUUGUACAAAAGUAGAAAGUCGGUCGUAAAUUCUAAACUAUUCCAGAUUGUUAAACCAAAUUAAAGAGACUAAACUGGUUAUCUUUGACCUUAGACUCUUCUUCUUGAUGAGGAAAAACUCCUAAAAAAACCUAGAUUCUAGGAAAAAAAGGAAACCUCGAAGGAGGGAUCCUCUCCCAGGACAGGCCGGCGAUGCACCAGGACUGUUAAAGAAGAAUUAACUCGAUUUGAGUAGCGUUCAUCCAGAUAGACACGGGGGACGGGUAGGGGCGGGGUCCACGGCCAGCACGAGCCGGGGGCGAGGUCCACGGCCAAAAACAGGAGCACAGAAGAUUUGCCUGGAAUCUGAAAUCUCUCCCGCUCCCAGUGGGAAAAGGAAGAACACGUGAAUCGUGCUGCACCAAACAGAAGCAAAGAUGGCGAAAUCAAAUAAAUAAUAAAGAAUAGAGGACAGAACUAAACUUUCCCAAGCUUCAAACUUCUAGCAGCCUAUCAGCAAACUAAUGAGUUUUAAUUCAAACUCGUUAACAGUAAGAUGCAACGAUGAUAUAUCAAUAUCAAUCUAACCCAGGGGUCACUGACCUUUUUGAACCUGAGAGCUACUUCAUGUGAAGGGCUGCCAUUUUGAAAAAAACAAAUUUUGUUUAAUUAAAGUUAGUGAUACAUUAUUAGUAAUGAAUAAUAAUAUUCCUCUAUGUAAAUACAUUGAUUUCUCACCAUAAUUAUCAACAAUGGGAAUAAGAUAUAAACAGAAAUCAACAUUCAGCACUUUAUUAAUCUCCAUAAUUGUUACAUUUUCAAAUGAUCGCUUACAUUUUAAUGGAAAAAUGUCUCAUUUUCACUCUGUUGUAACAUGUUUAUCAAUUAUGUCAUGUUAAAGUAAAAUCAACUUACACAUUUUUAAACAAAUCUUGUCACAUUUUGAACUAAAUGUGCAGCAUUUUUAACAUGGCGUUUUAAUUCUUAAAUCAAUGUAAUUGCAAGUGUAAUAAAUAAAAAAAAUAGCAACAGAAUAAAAUGUACUUUUUGAUGCAGCUUGCAAGUGAGUUGUUAUUUUUAGAAGAGACCUGAGGGCACCUCUGAUCUAAACUCCCAAAGCUGCAGCAGCUAAAGGUGGAAUUGAAAUAAAAUGUUAAAAACCACACUGUUAAAAAAAAAAACAAACUAAAAUUCUGCAGCUUUUUUCCUUUUGCCUCUUUCAAAGUUGUUUGUGUUCUCCAAAGGAUUCCUGGGAAACUUAGCAAGACUUUAUUGUUUUCUAAUAAUAGAUCCAAGUAUUUUUUUUAACAGUUGCUUGUUCCUGGUCACAAAGUUGCUGCAGACUUCCUGGGCCUCACACGCUCACAUUAACGAACGCUUUCCGAGACGUGAACCAAAGCUUUCUAAAAAAAAGUGAGGCUGACCGCUUUACCACUGUGAAGACCUUAAGAUUGAUUUAAUCACUUAUAAAUACUGUUAAUGCAAAGCUUUACCAAAAAAUCUCAAUUCAUUCACAGUUUUUCUCCAAUAAUUGAAUUAAAAUCUCUUUUAUUAUAAUUAUUGUGCUCAUUAAAAACUCUGAAAAGUGAAUCUAAAAAUAAUAGAAAAGUUAAACAUUUCUGUGGUUUUUCUUAUCACACCAUCAAAACAAGCAGAUUCUUAAAAUUAUAAAUCUCUUUUGCUUUUAUAAAUGUGUUUUUUUUUUUAAUUAGAACAUCAAUUUUAUAAUCAGACGCAUCCUUUAAAAAAAAAAAAAAAUUGCUUCUAAUUCUAAAUAUACCAACAAUCACCAAACAGACGUGAAGAAAAAAAGCAGCAGAAACAAACAAAAGGAAAAUACAUCUUUUUUUUAUUUAUUCAUGAUCUUUUCUGGACAUAUGAGGACAUCAUGGAAACUAAAUACAUCAAUAUAACCAAAACAUUUCUUCAAGUCUUUGACAUGCAUCUUUACUUUCUUUUAGUUUUCCGUCACUGAAAAGCUCACAUUUUAUUUUAAUAAUCCUUCGUUUAGAUCAAUUAAUUCUUGUGUAGUUUAUAUAUUUCAGGAGUUGAAAGCUUCAUGACUUUUGCUUUUAGCAGUUACUGGCUGGAGUAAAGGCUUCCCACUACACAGCAUCCUAAUUUUUCUUCUCAGAAAAAUGUGAAAACAUUUAAUGUGUAACUAUCAUCCUCUGCACAAUGAGGUUUUUCAGACAGACGAUAAAGCUCUCUAUGUAUUUAUCUAUGAUGAUUGAGCACACAUUCGGAACAAAGUGAGACUCUGUCAGCACAGUGGUUUCGUCGCUCACCGAGCGCUCCCGUGAUCUUCUGCGUUUGUAGGUGUGAAUCUCUAAAGACUGUCUUAGCGGAGCGAUGCCUACUGUAGAGGUGUGAGCAGUUUGACGUCUGACUGAUGGCCGUGUGGAUGAAGCGCCUGGACUCGUGGUCACCUGCUGAUGGCGGCCGCGAUCAGAGGCAGCAGGCCCGCUGUCAGAGAGCUGGAGAGGCGGGAGGCUGAGCCGCACUCCAUGGCGUUCUCCUGAAAGAAACACACCAGUUUUUGUCUAAAUAUUACAAAAUAGAACAGAGUCAAUCUUUGGACGCUUAUUGAAACAAGAUUAAGAUACGUUUGCAAAAAAAAAAGUCUAUAAUAACUAAGGAUGUCCUGACCCGGUCAAUGAUCGGAAAUCGGGCCCAAUCACGUGGUUGAUGACUCGAUCGAAAUCGGACAUUUUCCACCGAUAAUGAUCG